UUUUGUUUGAUUUUCGUUCCUGUGUGUGUUGUGUAGGUAUAAUUUAUGAAACAAUAAAUUGGUAAAAAUGAGUUAUGGAAAAAGAAAACAUAAAUGUUGUGUGCCAAACUGCACUGACCAAGAUAGUGGACGUUUUAAAUUCCCCAAACCAAAGGACCUAUAUAAUAUGAACAUGUUUAAAAUGUGGGUUGAUAAUAUUAAAAAUCUAAUACUAAACAACACUGCUAUGAUGAAAUUCAUAGAAAAUUUCCGGUUUGUGCCAGGCAUUUUAGCCCAGAAAAGCUUAAUCUUUAUGGAUCCAGAAGAGGAAUUUCUAAUGAUGCUGUUCCUGUUUUAUUUAUGGGCAGCAGCAAUAAUAAUGCAUCUCAUCAAGAAGUAGAAGUAAGAAGUAAGACAACCCCUCAUGUGCCAGUAGAUGCAUUUCCAAGCACCUCUAUGACUAUCAAGACUUCCAGUAGUAAUCCACAUAAUGAUGCAUUUCUUAAGUCUGAUAAGACCCCAACUGGUCGUUCCGGUCUUCCCCCAACGUUAACCAAAGGAGCAGACGAAAAGUUGGAGAUUCCUGACCAAAAUCUUGAGUUACCAUUGGAGGUUCCAAGUAAUUUUAAAAGACAAUCUAUUUUAAAGGAGGUCAAUGUUACUAGGCAGAAUUUAUUAACACCAAAGGCACGUCAUCUAUAUAAAAAAGUUGUAGAUUCAAGCAUUAGACUUGGAAGAAUUAUUAGAAAGAAUAAGUCUUUUAAAGACAGGUUGGCCGAAGCUGAAAAAUUGGCCCAGACUUCCAAAUUUGAAAACCUGAUAAAU